AUUGAACGCUGGCGGCAGGCCUAACGCAUGCAAGUCGAACGGUAACAGGAAACAGCUUGCUGUUUCGCUGACGAGUGGCGGACGGGUGAGUAAUGUCUGGGAAACUGCCUGAUGGAGGGGGAUAACUACUGGAAACGGUAGCUAAUACCGCAUAACGUCGCAAGACCAAAGAGGGGGACCUUCGGGCCUCUUGCCAUCGGAUGUGCCCAGAUGGGAUUAGCUAGUAGGUGGGGUAACGGCUCACCUAGGCGACGAUCCCUAGCUGGUCUGAGAGGAUGACCAGCCACACUGGAACUGAGACACGGUCCAGACUCCUACGGGAGGCAGCAGUGGGGAAUAUUGCACAAUGGGCGCAAGCCUGAUGCAGCCAUGCCGCGUGUAUGAAGAAGGCCUUCGGGUUGUAAAGUACUUUCAGCGGGGAGGAAGGGAGUAAAGUUAA
rnacentral:rRNA from 1 species